GGAGGCGUGCAGGCGCCUGGUGGCCCUCCCGGUCUUCAAAACCGGUGCAGCCAAGCACCUCGGCUGGGCGGGUUCGAUUCCCGUCCGCCUCCGCCA
rnacentral:tRNA from 1 species